ensembl:lncRNA
GUUGGGUUGAAUGGGGGAGGGGAAGUAGAGGUGAUACAAAAGAGGGGAGCUAGGACUGGGGGCUCAGGGACCCAAACCGGGGGUUGGGGAGGACCGCCCUCCAGCGUGGUCCUGCGAGGGACAGCGGGCUGGACCCGGCUCCAGGGAGGGAGGGGGCGCGGCGCAGCGCGGAUUUUAGCUUGUUUCCAAUGUCCUCAUUUUCUCCUGCACCAACAUUGUGGGUGUCUGCACCCACUACCCAGCUGAGGUGUCCCAGAGACAGGCCUUCCAGGAGACCCGGGAGUGCAUCCAGGCACGGCUCCACUCGCAGCGGGAGAACCAGCAGCAGGAGCGGCUUUUGCUGUCAGUCCUUCCCCGUCAUGUUGCCAUGGAGAUGAAAGCAGACAUCAAUGCCAAGCAGGAGGAUAUGAUGUUCCACAAGAUUUACAUCCAGAAGCAUGACAACGUGAGCAUCCUGUUUGCUGACAUCGGGGGCUUCGCCCAGCCUGGCAUCCCAGUGCACUGCCCAGGAACUAGUCAUGACCCUCAACGAGCUCUUCGCCCGCUUUGACAAGCUCGCUGCGGAGAAUCACUGUUUACGCAUUAAGAUCCUGGGGGAUUAUUCCACUGCGUCUCAGGGCUGCCUGAGGCCAGGGCCGACCACGCCCACUGCUGUGUGGAGAUGGGCAUGGACAUGAUCGGGCCAUCUCGUAAGUGCCGACCUCAGGCCUGUCCACUCGGGGGUGCUGUCCCCCAGCCUGAGUGAGACUGACCAGCCAACUGGACUGAUAGAGAAACGGUGGGGAAACUGUGAGGCAAAAGCUGUCUCCCAGGGACCCAUCUGGCCUUGCCCCAACCCCCAGUUCGGGUCUGCACCUCCAGACUUUGUGCCUCUCUGGGGCUCCUUCACUCCCAACAGCCAGGGCAGCUUUUACCCCCAGUGAGGAGGAAUCUGUGCUCCAUCCAGUGCCUCCUGCCUGCUCACAAACUCCCAGCUGGUGGAGGAAACUGCUGCUCCCCCACUCCUCCCAGAUGGGAGAGAGUUGAACAGCUCCGCAGGCCCACAAGAUUCAAACACAGGGGUUCCAUUUUGAGAGAAUCCCCCCUUCUUGUGAGCAACAGCAACAAGGUUCUUGGGCCAGUUCUUGGUCAUUGCGGGUCAAGAAAGGAGCCUUGGUCAUUGAGUCACGCGGACUUAUAUAUGAGUUUAUAUAUGAACCAAGGAAGCAGGCAGUGACUGUAUCCAGAUUCAGUAAUUUUGGACUUCAGAAUUACCCUGAAUAGGGGCGAUGGAAAAAACAGAUGGCAAGUUGAGAGGUCAGAGUAGCUGGCCAGGGAACUGGCCUGGUCCGUGGUUGUGGGAUGGUUCUGUUUACCAAGUGCCCCCUGCAGCCUGGGCCGGAAAGUCCCUUGCCCAGAGACACAGCGAGGUGAGAGCUGGGACCUCUGAGGCUCUGCUUGAGGGGUGUCUGUGCACGUGACCUGCUGAGAGGGGCAAACUGCUGUGAGGAGGAAUGGCUGGUCUCACUGAGGGCUUUAGAGAAGCUUCACAGAGGACAGACAGUGAGACAUGUCAUCCUAAGCAAGGCACA